rnacentral:rRNA from 1 species
UCGAGGAUCUUCGGCAAUGGGCGCAAGCCUGACCGAGCGACGCCGCGUGCGGGAUGAAGGCCUUCGGGUUGUAAACCGCCGUCGGAGUGGAGGAAAUUCCAUAGGGUAAUCUCUAUGGAUUGACUAAUACUCAGAGGAAGGACGGGCUAAGUUCGUGCCAGCAGCCGCGGUAAUACGAACCGUCCAAACGUUAUUCGGAAUCACUGGGCUUAAAGGGUGCGUAGGCGGCUCAGAAAGUAGGGUGUGAAAUCCCUCGGCUUAACCGAGGAAUUGCGCCCUAAACUACUGGACUCGAGGAAGACAGAGGUAAGCGGAACUUACGGUGGAGCGGUGAAAUGCGUUGAUAUCGUAAGGAACACCAGGAGCGAAAGCGGCUUACUGGGUCUUUUCUGACGCUGAGGCACGAAAGCUAGGGGAGCGAACGGGAUUAGAUACCCGCGUAGUCC